CCCUUAGAUGUCCUGGGCUGCACGCGCGCUACACUGAUGUGUCCAGUAAGCACCUAACCUCUUCCGAAAGGAACGGGUAACCUUUGCAAAGCACAUCGUGAUGGGGAUAGAUUAUUGCAAUUAUUAGUCUUGAACGAGGAAUUCCUAGUAAGCACAAGUCAUCAUCUUGUGUUGAUUACGUCCCUGCCCUUUGUACACACCGCCCGUCGCUCCUACCGAUUGAAUGUUCCGGUGAGCUCUUCGGACUGCGCGGUCUGCAGUUUCUGCGUUCCGUGCGGAAAGUUGCGCAAACCUUAACAUUUAGAGGAAGGAGAAGUCGUAACA
rnacentral:rRNA from 1 species